rnacentral:rRNA from 1 species
ACGCUGGCGGCAGGCUUAACACAUGCAAGUCGAACGGUAACAGGAAUUAGCUUGCUAAUUUGCUGACGAGUGGCGGACGGGUGAGUAAUGCUUGGGAAUCUGGCUUAUGGAGGGGGAUAACUACGGGAAACUGUAGCUAAUACCGCGUAAAAUCUUCGGAUUAAAGGGUGGGACUUUCGAGCCACCUGCCAUAAGAUGAGCCCAAGUGGGAUUAGGUAGUUGGUUAGGUAAAGGCUGACCAAGCCGACGAUCUCUAGCUGGUCUGAGAGGAUGACCAGCCACACUGGAACUGAGACACGGUCCAGACUCCUACGGGAGGCAGCAGUGGGGAAUAUUGCACAAUGGGGGGAACCCUGAUGCAGCCAUGCCGCGUGAAUGAAGAAGGCCUUCGGGUUGUAAAGUUCUUUCGGUGACGAGGAAGGUUGAUAGGUUAAUAGCCUAUCAAAUUGACGUUAAUCACAGAAGAAGCACCGGCUAACUCCGUGCCAGCAGCCGCGGUAAUACGGGGGGUGCGAGCGUUAAUCGGAAUAACUGGGCGUAAAGGGCACGCAGGCGGUGACUUAAGUGAGAUGUGAAAGCCCCGAGCUUAACUUGGGAAUUGCAUUUCAUACUGGGUCGCUAGAGUACUUUAGGGAGGGGUAGAAUUCCACGUGUAGCGGUGAAAUGCGUAGAGAUGUGGAGGAAUACCGAAGGCGAAGGCAGCCCCUUGGGAAUGUACUGACGCUCAUGUGCGAAAGCGUGGGGAGCAAACAGGAUUAGAUACCCUGGUAGUCCACGCUGUAAACGAUGUCGAUUUGGGGAUUGGGCUUUGAGCUUGGUGCCCGUAGCUAACGUGAUAAAUCGACCGCCUGGGGAGUACGGCCGCAAGGUUAAAACUCAAAUGAAUUGACGGGGGCCCGCACAAGCGGUGGAGCAUGU